UGAGAUUCAGCAACGCAGCAGAAAAUCAAACCCCAACUGUCAGCCAUAUAUUCAAACUCAAGGUUCCACCUCAAACUUUCUUGUCUAAUUUUCUCACUCUGAUUUCAAAAGCAAUAGACGACUCACUCAUUCAUAAACGUGUCCACAUAUAGAUAUGCAUUAGCAGAGAAAAAAAAGAGACUUAAAGAUAUGAACUUUACCUUAUUUAUACAUUGAGCAUGAAUUGUAUGAACUGAUUUUACAUUGAGAAUUCAAGCAAUGAUAUAUAAAACAAACAUGUAUUAAACUUGAAUCUUGAGCUAUGUUGUGUGGGUUGUGCUGCUGUAAGUGUCGAGUUUGGUGAGAAGUGGUAGAGAGGGCAGCAGUGGGCGGCUAUUGCUGUCCGGCCGGAAACCGAGGGAGUCCAGGCGGAGGCGGCGUCGUUUAUGGCGCUGUCGUUGCUAGGAAUUUGAGUUUAGGGCACGAUGGCGGCGAGGAGCCGCUGUCAUCGCCAGAAAUCGGGGAGAUGAGGUAGUGGUUGGAUCGAGAGUAGCAGGCAGCGAUAGGGGCGGCGGUUUCACGCCCUGUUCUGAGUCGGAACAGAGAUGGAGAUUCGGAGGGAGCCUUGAAAUGGUGUGUGUGUUCUGUUGGUCGGGCCUAGGGCUUCAGGCGGCGGCGGCCUCGUCGUCGCUGCCCUGAGUCGCCGGAGUUGAGGAAGGGGAAACCUAGGGCUUGCAGGGCGGCGGCGUUGCUGCUCGAAAUACGAGCGGCGGCGGCCGGAACUAGAGGAGAAGAGAGAUGAGGGGCGGAGACAUCGCCGGUGGUUGUCGUCGUCGGAUUUCAGAGGGAGAAGAACGGAUUGGGAGCCUAGGGCUCGGCGGCUCUGCCGUCGUUCCGAGCGGCCUAGGCGAGAGACGAGCGAGGGAGAAGGAGCUGUGCGGCGGCGGCCGUCGCUUCGCCGGCGGCUGCUGCUGCAGUUGAGUAUGUGUGUGGAGAGAGAGCGAGAGUCGAGAGGGGGAAUUGGGAGGAGCAGAUUUUGUGUUUGUGUGCGCGUGGGUUGAAGAGAAAAUGAGGAAGAAGGGGUGUUGGGCUUUGGCUACUGGGCUGAUUUAUUAAAAGUCUUUGGGCCUUAUUACUUUAUGUGUGGACUGCAUUUUUAUUAAUUUAGGGCCCCCCUUAAUUACUUCUUUUGGGCUGCCUUAUUUUAAUUAAUUGGGCUAUUAAUCAGUUUAAUUAAUUUAUUUAAUGAAUAAUUUACAUAAUAAUAUUAUAUUAUUAUUAUUAUUAUGUGCAUAUUUUAAAUUAUUACUUAUCAUAUGUUUAAAGCAUGACAGGUAUUGCAUUUGCAUUUUGCAAUAAAAGCAUUUAUUAAAGAAAAAUCGAGUAAGGAUAUUGUUGUGUCCUUAACUCAAGAAAUUAGUUUCAAUUAUUUAUUUAUUAAAUUUUGAAAAACCCGGCUAAGUGAAUCAUAGAAUGUUAAGCACUUCACCAUACUUAAGAUUAGUUCAAGACUAUUAAGAAUAAAUUUCUUGUAGGCUUUGUGGACCAAGGAGAUUAUCGCUGCUUUCCCAAGACAGGUUUAUAUGUGUAUGAUCUUCAGGCUUUGCCUAACCAGGUGGGUUACUUUCCAAAUGUAUAAAGUAUGAUUGAGUUAUUAAGCUCUAAAUGUUUCAAUGAAAUGCAAACUGUUUAUUUAAUGAAAUGCAAACUGUUUAUCCAAUAAAAUAUUUUGUGCACUCUGCUCCGUUUAAGGCUCGCAACAAUGAAUCGAUCGAGGUUCUCUCUUGACCUAACACGUUAUUUGAGAAUUGUGUACACCUAUUAGCUGACCUGGUGGGUUGAUCUCCAUCGGGCACUAAUCAUGUAUGAGGCGUUAUAAGGGUGCUCGACGGGAUGUGUUCCGGAGCAUUGGGUCCCAAAUGGGAACUUGGCUGAGUUACGCCCUCAGUUCAAGCAAGCGGGAGUAAUGGAUCCGUCGGUGGCUAAAAGGUCCGGGAUCACAGCGGGUAACGGAAAGGGAGUGUGACAUGUGCGCACAAAUGAAAGAAAUUAUUUUAACAUGCUUAGAAGUUAUUUCAUUUAAAACCUUCUAAGUUAUGUCAAUAGAUUGGAUAAACUGUCUUUACGAAAAUAUGAAAUAUUUAUGAAAAUGCAUGCCCACUGAGUACAUUAGUACUUAGCCCAAAAAUACUUUCAAAUGUUUUCAGGUUGGCUGGCCGGUGCUGACGGGACUGAGCUGAGGCUAGGUUCAAUUUCUAUAUAGACUUCCGCUGUAGUAAUAACUCUUAUACACCUUUUGUUUUCUCAACUUACGAUGACUUCAUGUCGAGCUUCAAUUUAAAAUUUCUAGUUUUAUGUUAAUGAACGUCGGUUGUCAGAAACAUGAAACAAAACUUGUGAUCCAAAGGGGCCUAGCCCGACUCGUUAUCUUAUUAUUCGGGUUUUAACAAGGUUGUUCCUUGUUUAUUUCUAUGAAUUAG
rnacentral:lncRNA from 1 species